GUGAGUAACACGUGGGUAACCUGCCCAUCAGAAGGGGAUAACACUUGGAAACAGGUGCUAAUACCGUAUAACAAUCGAAACCGCAUGGUUUUGAUUUGAAAGGCGCUUUCGGGUGUCGCUGAUGGAUGGACCCGCGGUGCAUUAGCUAGUUGGUGAGGUAACGGCUCACCAAGGCCACGAUGCAUAGCCGACCUGAGAGGGUGAUCGGCCACAUUGGGACUGAGACACGGCCCAAACUCCUACGGGAGGCAGCAGUAGGGAAUCUUCGGCAAUGGACGAAAGUCUGACCGAGCAACGCCGCGUGAGUGAAGAAGGUUUUCGGAUCGUAAAACUCUGUUGUUAGAGAAGAACAAGGAUGAGAGUAACUGUUCAUCCCUUGACGGUAUCUAACCAGAAAGCCACGGCUAACUACGUGCCAGCAGCCGCGGUAAUACGUAGGUGGCAAGCGUUGUCCGGAUUUAUUGGGCGUAAAGCGAGCGCAGGCGGUUUCUUAAGUCUGAUGUGAAAGCCCCCGGCUCAACCGGGGAGGGUCAUUGGAAACUGGGAGACUUGAGUGCAGAAGAGGAGAGUGGAAUUCCAUGUGUAGCGGUGAAAUGCGUAGAUAUAUGGAGGAACACCAGUGGCGAAGGCGGCUCUCUGGUCUGUAACUGACGCUGAGGCUCGAAAGCGUGGGGAGCAAACAGGAUUAGAUACCCUGGUAGUCCACGCCGUAAACGAUGAGUGCUAAGUGUUGGAGGGUUUCCGCCCUUCAGUGCUGCAGCUAACGCAUUAAGCACUCCGCCUGGGGAGUACGACCGCAAGGUUGAAACUCAAAGGAAUUGACGGGGGCCCGCACAAGCGGUGGA
rnacentral:rRNA from 1 species